rnacentral:rRNA from 1 species
GAACGCUGGCGGCAUGCCUUACACAUGCAAGUCGAACGGCAGGCACGGGAGCAAUCCUGGUGGCGAGUGGCGAACGGGUGAGUAAUAUAUCGGAACGUGCCCGGUCGUGGGGGAUAACGUAGCGAAAGCUACGCUAAUACCGCAUACGAUCUACGGAUGAAAGCGGGGGAUCGCAAGACCUCGCGCGAUUGGAGCGGCCGAUAUCAGAUUAGGUAGUUGGUGAGGUAAAGGCUCACCAAGCCGACGAUCUGUAGCUGGUCUGAGAGGACGACCAGCCACACUGGGACUGAGACACGGCCCAGACUCCUACGGGAGGCAGCAGUGGGGAAUUUUGGACAAUGGGCGCAAGCCUGAUCCAGCAAUGCCGCGUGCAGGAUGAAGGCCUUCGGGUUGUAAACUGCUUUUGUACGGAACGAAACGGUGAGCUCUAAUACAGUUUGCUAAUGACGGUACCGUAAGAAUAAGCACCGGCUAACUACGUG